rnacentral:lncRNA from 1 species
UCAGCUGCAGAACUAGCACGGGCUCCCCAAAGGCCAGGAACGAGUCUGGUUUCUGGAACAGCACUGUCUCCUCAGCACCUAGACCUGGGCACAUAGCAGACAACCAAGGAAUGCCCAUCAACGAGAGGAGGCCUCACCUCAUGGCGGCCAUGUGGGGCAGGAAUGACUGUAAUCCCCCCUAACCAAUGGAACAGCUAAGACUCAGAGAGGGUGAGUGUCUUUCCCAAGGUCACACAGCUAGUAGGUAGGUGAGCUAGGACUUCCAGCCCCGGACUGCAUGCCUUUUGGCUAUGUCACCUUAGCCACUCUUCCCUGCCACUACUGCCUCCCAGGUUUGCUGGAGGAUCACAUGCUGAGCUGCUCACAUGCUGAGCUGUUCACCUGCUGAGCAAGCAAGCAUCAAACGCCCAUGGAAUACAAGGUUCUAGGGACCUAGAACUAGAAAGACAUUCCUUUUCUGCUAGUCUGUGGCUCUUCCAGGGUAGAGAUGGAGCACCACACCUGGUGAAGAGCGCGGACUUGCAGGCUUACCAGAAUUUGCCUGUGUAUGAGUUUCUUCUUGCCAUUGUAACAACUGACCACGACUUAGCUUAAAGCAACACACAUUUCCUCUUUUACGGUUCUGGAAGUCUGAAAUGGAGUCUCAUCGGGCUAAAAUUGUGUUGGCAGGGCUGUGUUCCUUCUGAGGCUCUAAGGGAGAAAUCCGUUUCCUCGUCUUUUCCAGCUUCUAGAGUUUGCUUGUACUACUUGCCUCAUGGCCCCUCCUCUAUCUCCAAAUCCAGCAAGCUCAUCACUCCAACCUCUGCUGCCAUUCCGAUGUCUCUCUCUGACAUUGACCUCCUGGCCCACCACUUCCCUUAUUAGGAUCCCUGUGAUUACACUGUACUCACCCAGAUAAUCCAGGAGAGUCUCCCCCUCCAGCUCCUUACCCUAAUUACACCUGCAAGGCCCCCUUUGCCUUAAAAGGUGGCAUAGUUACAGUUUUGGGGGUCAGAAUGCAGACAUCUUUGGGGAUGGUCUUAGUGCACUUACUUUGCUAUAAAAGAAUACCUGAAGGCAGGUAAUUUAUAAAGAAAAGAGCUUUAUUAGGCUUAUAGUUCCACGGCUGUACAAGAAGCAUGGCACCAGCAUCCGCUUCUGGGGAGGCCACAAGCUGCUUCUACUCAUGGCAGAAAGGGAAGGAGAGCUGAUGUGUGCAGAAAUCACACAAUGACUGAGUGCAGCAAUUCUCCACCCAACCAAUGGAAAAGCGAGAGAGAGACAGGGAGAGACAGUGAGCAGUAACAAUGGGUGGAGGUGGUCCUACACUCUUUUCAACAACUAGUGCUCACGGGGACUAACAGAGCAGAGCUCUCUCCUCGAAGAAGGGCAUUGCCCUCAUGACCCAAAGACCUUCCACCAGGCCCCACCUCCAACACCACGGAUCAGAUUUCAAUACGAGACUUGGGGACAAACUAGCCAUGUCCAAACCACAGCUGGGACCAUGACUCCUCCCAGCACAUCGAGUUUGUGGGGUUGUAUUAUCAGAAUUGCAAUAUGGCUUAGUUGGCUCAGGCUGCCAUAAAAGAAUGCCAUAGGCUGGGUGGCUUAAACCACAGAAAUGCAUUUUUUCAUGGUUCUGGAGGCUGGAAGUCCGAGAUCAGGGUGCCAGCGUGGCAGGGUUCUGGUGAGGACCCUCUUCCUGGUUUGCAUAUUGCUGCCCCCUCGCUGUGGCUCAUGUGACCUUUCCUGGGUCUGUGCUUAACGUGAGAGCAAGGUCUCCACCACCAAGGCCACCAGCCCUAUCAGAUGAGGACCUCACCCUUAUGAGCUCACUGAACUUUACCUCCAAAAAGUUCAGUCUUAACACACGGUUAGAUUGGGGUUAGGGCUUUAAUAUAGAAAUUUUGGGGGGACACAUUUCUGUCUCGAGCACAGAACACAGGAGACUGCUGGCUCCCACACCCUCCCUUUCUCUUCCCCUGAGAACCACGUUUCCCAGGCCACCCUUCCUCCCACUCGUUUCCCUCUGUGCUCUGCCAAGGGGAGGCCCCAGAGGAAGGUUGAGGGGAGGGAGGGAGGAGACACCCAGGUGUGUCCCCCUCUUUCAGUCGGCAGUGGGUGAGUCUCCUCUGUGGCUCCAGCUCCCCAUAGGCAGCCUCAGCUCACAGCUGGGGGCUCAGACAACACAGUUCCUCCCUUUGUCCUGCUAGCCCAGGGGCAGUGGGGACUUCCUGCUGUUGCUCAUCUGUGUUGCUCUCACUGCCCUGGGGCUUGGCUUUCCAGCUCUUCUGCCACCUUUAUAUGGAGAUUUUGGCAUGCACGUCCAUCAUUGGACUCCAUUUUUCUGUCUGGGUCUUGACUAAGACUUCCCUUCACCCACAGGGCCUCGAGCCCUUCACAGGGUCCCUCAAGUGUUGGGGCAGGGGCUUCAGGUGUUGGUCCUCCUCCUGCCUGGCAUCCUCUGCCCCGCCUUGGCAACGUCAGUAGCUGCAGAACAUCUGCGUCUACUCCUCUGCCCAUCCUGGGUCUGUGCUGAGGGCCCUGGGGUGCAGCAAGCUGCUAAGCCUGCAGCCAAACCUGGGUCCCUCUCUACUCUCUUUUGUGCUAUUCUGUGUUUUCUAAAUGGUUUGACAAAUAGUGUCAUUGUUUUUACGCAAGAAACACCAAUAGAAUCUUUAAUUCAAAAAAAA